rnacentral:sRNA from 1 species
AUUCUGCCCAUGCGGGGAAGGAUGAGAAGCUUCGACUAAGGUUCGACUCGAGCGCCAGCGAGAGAGCGUUGCCGCAGGCAACGACCCGCAGGGCGAAGCGCGC